rnacentral:rRNA from 1 species
AGAGUUUGAUCAUGGCUCAGAACGAACGCUGGCGGCAGGCCUAACACAUGCAAGUCGAACGAAGCCUUCGGGUUUAGUGGCGGACGGGUGAGUAACGCGUGGGAACGUGCCCUUCUCUACGGAAUAGUCCUCUGGAAACGGAGAGUAAUACCUUAUACGCCCUUCGGGGGAAAGAUUCAUCGGUAUCGGAUUAGCCCGCGUUAGAUUAGAUAGUUGGUGGGGUAACGGCCUACCAAGUCUACGAUCUAUAGCUGGUUUUAGAGGAUGAUCAGCAACACUGGGACUGAGACACGGCCCAGACUCCUACGGGAGGCAGCAGUGGGGAAUCUUGGACAAUGGGCGCAAGCCUGAUCCAGCCAUGCCGCGUGAGUGAUGAAGGCCUUAGGGUCGUAAAGCUCUUUCGCCAGAGAUGAUAAUGACAGUAUCUGGUAAAGAAACCCCGGCUAACUCCGUGCCAGCAGCCGCGGUAAUACGGAGGGGGUUAGCGUUGUUCGGAAUUACUGGGCGUAAAGCGCGCGUAGGCGGAUUGGAAAGUUAGAGGUGAAAUCCCGGGGCUCAACCCCGGAACUGCCUUUAAAACUCCCAGUCUAGAGUUCGAGAGAGGUGAGUGGAAAUUCCGAGUGUAGAGGU